UCUGAAUAAGUCUCAGCAGCAGCGAAGUUGCGGACCCUACCACAAAAUCGGGGGAGGAGUGGAUUCUAAACAAACAAAAAAAAAAAGAUGCAUUACCAGAAAAAGGAUUGCAGCGCAAUAAGCAAGAAUGGCCUUUGACUCAAGCUUAGAUGAAGAUACCCUGCACAGGACAUUGAGGGCUUUGUGAUGGCAACAGGAAAAGCCCGAG
rnacentral:lncRNA from 1 species